rnacentral:rRNA from 1 species
CGAAACCGAUAGCGAACAAGUACCGUGAGGGAAAGUUGAAAAGUACUCUGAAUAGAGAGUUAAAUAGUACGUGAAACCGCUUAGGGGUUAAGCCCGAUGAACCCGAAUAUCUGAUGUGAGAAAUUCAAUACGAUUCAGAUUCAUAUUUUUAUAUUGGAUUUGUAUAGUAUGCACUUUUCUCAUAGUAAGACAUUGUAAUCCAUUGAUAUUAUAUCUCAUAUAUCAUGUAUGAGAUGAUUUAACAUACGGUCAAAAUGUUUAUGAUUAUUCUAUCAGUGAUAUGUUUACAUGUCAUAUGAAUAAAAUCGUUUUGUUUCCUGUUUAAAUAGUCGAUGGAUUUUUCAUUGAAAUCAUGCUUGCAAUUCAUUUUGCGUUUCGUAUCAUUAAUUUUUAAUUUUUGAUAGCAGAAAUGGCAUGUAUUCGAUUAACAAUGCGAUAGAUUUGGGAUACUUUCAGGACCCGUCUUGA